rnacentral:rRNA from 1 species
GUCGAGCGAGCUUGCCUAGAUGAAUUUGGUGCUUGCACCAAAUGAAACUAGAUACAAGCGAGCGGCGGACGGGUGAGUAACACGUGGGUAACCUGCCCAAGAGACUGGGAUAACACCUGGAAACAGAUGCUAAUACCGGAUAACAACACUAGACGCAUGUCUAGAGUUUAAAAGAUGGUUCUGCUAUCACUCUUGGAUGGACCUGCGGUGCAUUAGCUAGUUGGUAAGGUAACGGCUUACCAAGGCAAUGAUGCAUAGCCGAGUUGAGAGACUGAUCGGCCACAUUGGGACUGAGACACGGCCCAAACUCCUACGGGAGGCAGCAGUAGGGAAUCUUCCACAAUGGACGCAAGUCUGAUGGAGCAACGCCGCGUGAGUGAAGAAGGGUUUCGGCUCGUAAAGCUCUGUUGGUAGUGAAGAAAGAUAGAGGUAGUAACUGGCCUUUAUUUGACGGUAAUUACUUAGAAAGUCACGGCUAACUACGUGCCAGCAGCCGCGGUAAUACGUAGGUGGCAAGCGUUGUCCGGAUUUAUUGGGCGUAAAGCGAGUGCAGGCGGUUCAAUAAGUCUGAUGUGAAAGCCUUCGGCUCAACCGGAGAAUUGCAUCAGAAACUGUUGAACUUGAGUGCAGAAGAGGAGAGUGGAACUCCAUGUGUAGCGGUGGAAUGC